AGUGAAUGCUGGCGGUAGGCCUAACACAUGCAAGUCGAACGGCAGCACAGUAAGAGCUUGCUCUUACGGGUGGCGAGUGGCGGACGGGUGAGGAAUACAUCGGAAUCUACUUUUUCGUGGGGGAUAACGUAGGGAAACUUACGCUAAUACCGCAUACGACCUACGGGUGAAAGCAGGGGAUCUUCGGACCUUGCGCGAUUGAAUGAGCCGAUGUCGGAUUAGCUAGUUGGCGGGGUAAAGGCCCACCAAGGCGACGAUCCGUAGCUGGUCUGAGAGGAUGAUCAGCCACACUGGAACUGAGACACGGUCCAGACUCCUACGGGAGGCAGCAGUGGGGAAUAUUGGUCAAUGGGCGCAAGCCUGAUCCAGCCAUACCGCGUGGGUGAAGAAGGCCUUCGGGUUGUAAAGCCCUUUUGUUGGGAAAGAAAAGCAGCAGGUUAAUACCCCGCUGUUCUGACGGUACCCAAAGAAUAAGCACCGGCUAACUUCGUG
rnacentral:rRNA from 1 species